AGAAGAAGACUCACGCUUGGUAAUGCGUGGUGGUGGCGGCGGUGGCGGCCCCGACAGGGAGGCCACCCCGGCGGAAUACAUGGGCGGACGACCGCCGCGUCGCAGAGCGUGAUAUUUCGCUAUCGCCUCGAGCGCGGAGAGGGUGCCAGCCCUGGCCAGAUGCCUGCCAGCAGCGUGGCGCGGCGCGACACUGUGCUGUCGCCUCGAGCGCGGGUAGGCGACCAAUCCCUCGCCCACGGGCUGGGCUUGGGAGACUGGGAGAACAUGACACC
rnacentral:misc_RNA from 1 species